UGGACAUAUUGGGAUUCUGGGCAAUGCAACAGAGCUUCUAUUUCCUGGCAGAUGGACCAUGAGCCUGGGCCAGAGAAUCUGGUGCUGAGCUGCUGCAGUCAGCUGAGCUGCUUACGUAACCUGAAGGCUCUCCUGGGAGGACCAUGCUGUGAAAGGCAGCUCUGGUUUGCUUCCCCUCAGAUAAUGUUUAUAUGGCCUUUUGGUCAGAGAAGAAGCAAAGAUAAUCCCCCUGACCCUCAGGUUGAGGAGACACAGAUCGGCCUUUGCUGAGGGUAGCACAGCAAAUGAGGAUGCAUCUCCCAGCAGGUGACGUGCCCGGUCCUGUGACUCAUGCCCUUUAUCCCAGUAAGUGAUCUGGCUCUGGUAAAGUGCCCUAGGGAGCCUUGCCUGGACAAGGAGCACCUCGUGAUAGUCUGCCCUGUGCAACCCGCUGCUGUUUCUGACGAGGUUAAGCUGGAUUCAAAUGCUAGGUGACAGGACCUUGCCUUGCACGAUGGUUUCUUACCCCACAAUAUUCAUCUCAGGGGUGAGCAGGCUAGCAACAUUCUUGGAUGACAUGGCCAUUCUGGUGAGAUGGGUCAAAUGCAAACAAAAAUGCUGUGAGACGCAGGACAUCAGGGGCAUCCCAGGGCCUGAAUAUUCUUACUCUGACCAGAGCCGGCUCCGGGCAGCUGUCAGCCAUGCCUUAAAAAUCAGAAGUCUGCACACUUUUUCCGUAAAGGGCCAGGUAUUAAAUCUUUCAGGUUCAUGGGCCACAUGUGGUCUCAGAUGCAACUACCCAGCACUGCCAUUGUGGCAUGGAAGCAGCCAUAGAGACUUUGUAAAUGAAUGGGCACGGUGGCAUUCCAAUAAAACUUCAUUUACAAAAACAAGCCAUGGGCUGGAUUUGGACUAUGAGUUAUACUUUGCCAACACCUGGUUUAAAUUAAAUCUGAACUUCCCUCGGAG
rnacentral:lncRNA from 10 species